GUGGGGAAUAUUGGACAAUGGGGGGAACCCUGAUCCAGCCAUGCCGCGUGUGUGAAGAAGGCCUUUUGGUUGUAAAGCACUUUAAGCGAGGAGGAGGCUACCGAGAUUAAUACUCUUGGAUAGUGGACGUUACUCGCAGAAUAAGCACCGGCUAACUCUGUGCCAGCAGCCGCGGUAAUACAGAGGGUGCAAGCGUUAAUCGGAUUUACUGGGCGUAAAGCGCGCGUAGGUGGCCAAUUAAGUCAAAUGUGAAAUCCCCGAGCUUAACUUGGGAAUUGCAUUCGAUACUGGUUGGCUAGAGUAUGGGAGAGGAUGGUAGAAUUCCAGGUGUAGCGGUGAAAUGCGUAGAGAUCUGGAGGAAUACCGAUGGCGAAGGCAGCCAUCUGGCCUAAUACUGACACUGAGGUGCGAAAGCAUGGGGAGCAAACAGGAUUAGAUACCCGAGUAGUAC
rnacentral:rRNA from 1 species